rnacentral:rRNA from 1 species
AAAUUGAAGAGUUUGAUCAUGGCUCAGAUUGAACGCUGGCGGCAGGCCUAACACAUGCAAGUCGAACGGUAACAGGAAGCAGCUUGCUGCUUUGCUGACGAGUGGCGGACGGGUGAGUAAUGUCUGGGAAACUGCCUGAUGGAGGGGGAUAACUACUGGAAACGGUGGCUAAUACCGCAUAACGUCGCAAGACCAAAGAGGGGGACCUUCGGGCCUCUUGCCAUCAGAUGUGCCCAGAUGGGAUUAGCUUGUUGGUGAGGUAACGGCUCACCAAGGCGACGAUCCCUAGCUGGUCUGAGAGGAUGACCAGCCACACUGGAACUGAGACACGGUCCAGACUCCUACGGGAGGCAGCAGUGGGGAAUAUUGCACAAUGGGCGCAAGCCUGAUGCAGCCAUGCCGCGUGUAUGAAGAAGGCCUUCGGGUUGUAAAGUACUUUCAGCGGGGAGGAAGGUGUUGUGGUUAAUAACCGCAGCAAUUGACGUUACCCGCAGAAGAAGCACCGGCUAACUCCGUGCCAGCAGCCGCGGUAAUACGGAGGGUGCAAGCGUUAAUCGGAAUUACUGGGCGUAAAGCGCACGCAGGCGGUCUGUCAAGUCGGAUGUGAAAUCCCCGGGCUCAACCUGGGAACUGCAUUCGAAACUGGCAGGCUUGAGUCUUGUAGAGGGGGGUAGAAUUCCAGGUGUAGCGGUGAAAUGCGUAGAGAUCUGGAGGAAUACCGGUGGCGAAGGCGGCCCCCUGGACAAAGACUGACGCUCAGGUGCGAAAGCGUGGGGAGCAAACAGGAUUAGAUACCCUGGUAGUCCACGCCGUAAACGAUGUCUACUUGGAGGUUGUGCCCUUGAGGCGUGGCUUCCGGAGCUAACGCGUUAAGUAGACCGCCUGGGGAGUACGGCCGCAAGGUUAAAACUCAAAUGAAUUGACGGGGGCCCGCACAAGCGGUGGAGCAUGUGGUUUAAUUCGAUGCAACGCGAAGAACCUUACCUGGUCUUGACAUCCACAGAAGAAUCCAGAGAUGGAUUUGUGCCUUCGGGAACUGUGAGACAGGUGCUGCAUGGCUGUCGUCAGCUCGUGUUGUGAAAUGUUGGGUUAAGUCCCGCAACGAGCGCAACCCUUAUCCUUUGUUGCCAGCGGUUAGGCCGGGAACUCAAAGGAGACUGCCAGUGAUAAACUGGAGGAAGGUGGGGAAUGACGUCAAGUCAUCAUGGCCCUUACGACCAGGGCUACACACGUGCUACAAUGGCGCAUACAAAGAGAAGCGACCUCGCGAGAGCAAGCGGACCUCAUAAAGUGCGUCGUAGUCCGGAUUGGAGUCUGCAACUCGACUCCAUGAAGUCGGAAUCGCUAGUAAUCGUGGAUCAGAAUGCCACGGUGAAUACGUUCCCGGGCCUUGUACACACCGCCCGUCACACCAUGGGAGUGGGUUGCAAAAGAAGUAGGUAGCUUAACCUUCGGGAGGGCGCUUACCACUUUGUGAUUCAUGACUGGGGUGAAGUCGUAACAAGGUAACCGUAGGGGAACCUGCGGUUGGAUCACCUCCUUA